rnacentral:misc_RNA from 1 species
AUUGAGUGCAAAUUGUGGAAGAUCUCACUUGUCACCUUUUUACAGUGGGAAAACAAGAUUCGGGGGAGCUUUGUCUCAGAAAUCAAGAUUGAAUAGUUCUGCUCCAAAUUUGAACCGUGUACCCUAUGUAGUACGGCAAAAGAUUAAGGCAAAGGCAAGAAAUCGUUCCUCAACAACCUCUGCUAAAAGGAUCCUGGAAACACUGCAAAAAAUAUCAACACCAAUGCAUGUUGAAUUAUCUGAUGUGAGGACAGAAUUCACCCUGCCAUCUGAAAAUAUUGAAAGAAUGAGGUUUCGGCUUUUUGAUGAGAAAGGUGGAAAACUAGAUGAUGACCCAAAAUAUUCCAUGGAUAUUAGCUUUUCAUUUUCCUCACCUGAUGCAAAAAAAGAUAUUUCAAAUGAUUUUCUUCGACUGCCAAAAAUGGAUUUCACCUUUAGUAAUCCUAUUGGAGUACACAAUACGUCUUUAUCAGCUGAUCAAACCAUUGCUACAAAAACUUUAUUCGGGUCCUAACAAAUUUCAGAUCUGGAAAAGAGAUUAAAAUCUCGACAACGAUAUAGUGGCAAUUGCAUGAUAUUGAUUUUAUUUUUACUGUAAUUUAUAAUGAAUAAAUCAAUUCAAAGCAC